GCUGGGCACCGUGGUGCAUGCCUGUAAUCUCAGCAGCUCAAGAGGCUGAGGCAGGAGGAUCUUGUGUUCAAAGCCAGCCUCAGCAAUUCAGUGAGACCCUGUCUCUA
rnacentral:sRNA from 1 species